GAAUUUACUGAAAGUUACAAAAAUUUACCGAAAUUUACCGAAAUUACCAGUAAAUUUACGGGAGAUCUCUGUGUAUUCGGUAAAUGAAUUUGUCAAUAAUAUGUCCUGUAUAAUCACAACAUCAGUUUUACUUUCUCCCGUUGUUACACGAACUGUAUGCAAAUUAGUACUGGCAUUUUAAUUUAAAACUGAAUUCGAAUCGUGAACACUUUCCCCUUUUAACUUAAAUUCUUUUGCUCAUCAUUUUCAAUUCUAAAAAAUUUUAAUUGUCCCGAUCAGCAUUCCAAUCAAACAAAUUGAUCUUGUUAUGAAAAAUUAAUUAAAAAAAUGAAAUAAGCAAAGAAAUAUCGGCGACAUGAGCAACUCCGAUUUGUUGACUCAACUGUGUAGAAUCUAAUCUACACUGUAGACGAUAAAUAGUUAAUGGAGCCAAGGCUGUAAACUUUGGAGAGGUCACGCAGAGCGCCAUUUUAUUAGAUACGCGGAAACAUACCACUUCUGGUGAUUGUAAAUAUAAACAGAACCCCAAAGUUUACAGUCUUGAAUGGAGCAACGUUCAUGUUUUUUGCACACCCAAGAGAACUGUGUCAGAAAUUUGUAUAAACUUCUUCUAUUUCGACUACUACUACACUUAAAAUAUAUAGGCCUUGAACUAUUAGAUUGAUGUACUCGGUAGUACUCGUAUAAGAAACGUAAGUCACUCGUAGACACAAUUCUAGAAUGAGUUAGAAUAUGGAGACCCUUCGUGUGUGGAACUUAUUAAAAAGGAAAGAAAAAUCUAACACAAUUUUGUUCGUUGUACUGAAGGUCAUCACGGUCAAAUUUCGUCUAUUCCAUCAUUUUCGCCACAGCCACAAAUUUUCAUAAGUUUUACAGCAUUAGUGUCGUAAUGCGAAUUAAGCAUGUUCAGCACUUGGUAGUUAAUUUAUUUUUAGUGAUUACAGGUGAUGUUAGUGAAAUCUAGACAUCUUUAAUCUUCAGCUGUUUUUUAGCUGGUCCACUCAUACAAACGAAACAACUUUUGCUUUUUUGUCGGGUGAAAUACUAGGUGGUAAAACCGUACUACAUGGAACGAGCAGUUUUGUUUGUAUGUGUGAUCCAGCGGAAAAACAGCUGAAGCAAAUUUAUGUCUAAAUUUCAAUGACAUUUCCUGUAGUAUAGACUUUCAAGCAUUUUAUUUCGUUUAUCAUUAGCUAUAUUAAAUGGUUCAUUGCAUCGUAUAACAGGGGGAAUGUUAACGCGAAUUUUAGUGUAAAUAAAUUAAAAUUCGUGGCAACGUUACAUCCACAUUCGACGAUGAAAUCAACCAAAAAUCAGACAAAAAAAAGUUACUAAAAAAUCAAACAAAAAUAUUUUAUUUUAUCAGCGACAUCAAUUUUCCCAUUCACUUCAGACAAAUUACAUUCAAAAUUUCGGCGAUAUUUUCAAAAUUUUAACGGCAUGAUUUUUAAUUGGUGCAGUAAAAUGAAAACACAUCCAAUACUAAACAAACCAAAAAAAAAAAAAGAAAAGAAAAAUUGGUGUUACGUGACAUAAAGAAAAUUCAUUCCAUUCACAACGGUAAGCACAUUCCUUUAAUUUUUGUUUUUUUAAAUUUUUAUUGUAACAUUUUUGACAUAUCAUAUUUUGCUUCAUUAACCAAUCAGCUUACACGGCAUGUGGUGCGCUAAAUCAGUUAUUAUAUAAAUAUAUAUUGUAGCGAAUACAAAUUGAAUGAUAUAAUGUUCGGCUCAAAUGCCACACUUACAAGGUCACAAAAUAGAAAGACUUUGAAUUACUGUCCAUUAAGUAACUCGUAAAUUACACCACUCUUGAGGUCAAUACAUUACAGUGGUUUUGCUUAUUAUCCAAUAAAUAGCUUACAACGUAUAACAUCAAAUUUAAGCGGCAGACAGCAAUCAUAUCAUCAGAAUAAACCAUUGAAACUGGUGAUUUCUUUUCAUCCAAUGAUACCAAUUCCUUUACUUCAUAAAUUUUGCAAUAAAAGACGAAGUACGUCAUGUAGCUCGUCGCUCAGUUUUCCUAGUUUUCCGCUACUGUCGGUAACAGAUGACAUAUUGCAUAAUUGCUUUUCGGAUACCUUAGUUACUCUAUAUUAUGUAAACUCAACAUAAUCUAUAGAUGAAGUCUAGCACGUUCUAUUAGAUUAGAGAAAUGGUAGCAGCUUUGGGAUCAGUUCUAACCUUUUAACCAUAAUUACUAUUGAAUCUGGUACUUCUUUUGGUAAAUUAGCCGUUUAGUGGUUUGUAUACGAAAUAUUUUGCUUUAUUCGUUUUCAGAAACUAAAUGAAAACGCUAGGCGGUGAUCAGCGCUUAUUUAUGUUAUGUCGAUAACAUUGUCGAUAACAGAUGAUUAGCCAUUUCUGAAAGGUUAUAUCA